AGAGUUUGAUCCUGGCUCAGGACGAACGCUGGCGGCGUGCCUAACACAUGCAAGUGGAGCGACGAACCGGGCUUCGGCCCGGGGCAAAGCCGCGAACGGGUGAGUAACACGUGGGUAACCUGCCCUGAUGAUUGGGACAACCCGAGGAAACUCGGGCUAAUACCAAAUGUGCCCUCCGACUCUAAGGUCGAUGGGGAAAGGGAAGCUUCGGCCUCCGCAUCGGGAUGGGCCCGCGGCCCAUUAGCUUGUUGGUGAGGUAAUGGCUCACCAAGGCUACGAUGGGUAGCUGGUCUGAGAGGACGAUCAGCCACACUGGGACUGAGACACGGCCCAGACUCCUACGGGAGGCAGCAGUGGGGAAUCUUGCGCAAUGCGCGAAAGCGUGACGCAGCAACGCCGCGUGGGGGAAGACGGCCUUCGGGUUGUAAACCCCUUU
rnacentral:rRNA from 1 species